AUUGAUUUUGGAGUCUUAUAAUGCCGUAUAUAUUUCUGCGCUUACAAAACGUAAUUAUGAAAAGUCUAUUGAUACUUUUGAGGAUUUCCUGAAUAGUGAUGUGAAGUGGGCGGCCGUCCAUGGUGGAGCUUGGGUCGAUCAAUGGAGAAAUUCAAAAUGUGUAAAACUUCAAAACGCUGCUAACAGGUUCGUGAAGGCUAACAUUGAAGCAAUGCUUAAAUUUUCUGAAGAAGGGAAAGUUGGACUGGCUAUCGAUAAGCUUAAAGAUCAUCACUAUAUGCUCCCAUUCGUAAACGAAAAGGCACUUGACCGUUACAGAUUAAUGAAAGAAAGAUUGACCAGCCAAUAUGUAGUGCAAAUUUUAAGAAAAAACUCUAUUUUAAAAAAUGAAUUCAACCGCGUUAUUUUCCGAUUGACAGAGGCUGGCAUAAUUUCUUAUUGGAUUAAAUUAAAUCCAACCAAACAUGAAUGUGCCUUUCAAAGUAAAAUCGAAU